UACAGAGGUCCCAAGCGUUGUUCGGAUUCAUUGGGCGUAAAGGGUGUGUAGGUGGCGCCGUAAGUCGGGAUGUGAAUCUCGGGCGUUAACUCCGAAACUGCAUUCGAUACUGCCGUGCUUGAGGACUGGAGAGGAGACUGGAAUUUACGGUGUAGCGGUGAAAUGCGUAGAUAUCGUAAGGAAGACCAGUGGCGAAGGCGGGUCUCUGGACAGUUCCUGACGCUGAGGCACGAAGGUCAGGGGAGCAAACGGG
rnacentral:rRNA from 1 species